UGCCGAUGAUGUUACACAUAUUUGCUACUCUUGAUUGCAAAAAUGACGAGAAAUACCAUCACUGAGGCA